rnacentral:lncRNA from 1 species
AAACCGUCGUAAUUCGUCAGUCCUCUGAAGGUUUCAAAGCCAGUUCCCUGGCCGCAGCCUGGGCCUGCAUGAGGAGUUCAGCCUGGUGGAGGUGCUGAAGGCCGUCAUGAUGCAGCGUGGACUUGGGCCGUAAGAUGAGCGAGUUGGAGAAAAAGCUGAAGUGCCUGCAGAUGCAGCGCAAACUUGUACAAGUAGAGCAAGGUGGCAAAAACGAAGACGAAAAUCCACAAACUGAGCACCAUCAAACCAUCGGAAUUGUGAGGAUCUGACCAGCCCCGAGGUGGACCGUGUCAUCGUCCAGCGACUGAGGGUUGAUGAAGUCAUUGACGUCCUUUACGGCAAGCUGAUGACCUGUUGAUCAUCAAGGGAAUGCGAGACAGGUGAGGAAACCAUACUACAAGACAAGAACAGCAUUUUUUUCUUGGUUUUCCCAGCAUCUAUGAACACAAAACUUUAAAUAGCUUUUCUCUCAUGAGUCCGUCGCAAGCCUCUCCCAGCAGGGCGCACUAAAUCCUCCAACGUCUCCUGAGUCGUUUCGUCCAAGACACCCAACUAGACACCAAAACGGCCCCGCUGAUGGCGAUCCAUGAUGUCCAAUGCAUCAAUGAUGACUCCAGUGCUUACUUACGCUUCUUCGGCGGCUACUCUUUGUUCUAGGCAUGGGAGAGCUCGGGAAGGGGGCGGAGUUUGAGGCUCUGGAAGGGAGGGAGAUCUUGAACAGUCUGCUGUGUAUCGACGUCAAGCUUGAUGGGCUGGAGUCUAGCAACAUGGAACCAUUGCUGUGCCAGUUGCUGGAAAGGGCAAACAUGCCCAGAGAACUCAACAAAUUGAUGAGAAUGAGGUUGAUCACAUUGUCAACAAGGAGUGUGAAAAACUGGACAAGAGACUUGGAGAGGGGGCCAAGGUGAGCUUGCCGACACCCAAGAUUUGCAGAGGGCAGAACUGGACUUGGCUGUUUUGGGCAGAGAUGUAACCAGAUCAGUCACGUUGAAUAGAUUUGAGACUGAAUGACUCUUAGUUAACUUGUGAUGACUUGUGACUGAUUUUGUAAACAGUUUGGCUUAAGGCUCGACUAGGUAGUCUUGUAUUUUCCAGUUAAACAUUUAUUUGCGGUAAUUUUUCUUGGUCAUAUGCGAGACCUGUCGAUGCAAACUUGCAAUUUACACAUUCAUUUUGAAACAAUACACCCAAGAAGUCUGACAUCAUGCAAGUCGUCUAAGUGGUAAGUCUAAACAAUGUCUUGUUCGCCACUUUUACCUUCGGAUUUGCACAGGCAUAAGUUGAACGUGUUUUGAUAAAAAGUAAAUGGUAAGCCCUUAUCGUAUUGAAUUUGUGAUAAAAACUUAACUUUCCCCAUUUUUAUAAAAAUGCAAGGCUAACCCUUACCGUAUUGAAAUUUUGAUGAAAAUUUACGUUCGUGCUAUUUUUUGAUAAAAACUACCAUAAAAACUAAGUUUGUUUUUGCCCCUUUUUGAUAAAAAUGCGAGGCUAAUCCUUUACAGUUUUGAAUAUCUGAUGAAAAGUUAACUUUUGACCAGUUUAUGAUAAAAAUUCAAGGCUAACCACGAACCGGUUCGAAUAUGUGAUAAAUAAUUCUUUUUGUCCCUUUUUGAUAAAAAUGAAAGGCUAAUCCACUACCGCUUUGAAUUUGUGAUAAAAAAAUUUUUGCCCUGUUUUGAAA